AUAACCCUGUAUUGCAAAAUUCUAACACCUUCAUAUGUGUUGGCAUCAAAUCUGAAUCCAUGAAUACGUGAAAGUAGAAGUAUACAGUGUAACUGAUGGGAAAGAAUAAUUAACUACCUUGGUACAGCAAUGCUAUAUCUGUCCUCAGCAUAACCAUCUUUCUAAGUCAGUGUUAAUUAGUGAUACUUCACAUUUCAAGUAGCUU